GUCAGAGAGCUGACAUUAAAAAGCUCUCUGUGGCAGAAGCUUCACUGGAAGUUGCUACGAGGCGCUGCAGGAACCUGGAGGAAGCCAAACUGGGCUUGGAAAAGGAAUUGGGAGAGGCUAAAUCCAAGAACUGAUGGAAAAAGAGAAAAAGGAAAAGCCAACAGAAAGCUUUGUGGAAGAUAAAAGAACACACGUGGAAGUGGCUGCAAAUCCAGUUCACCAUUCAGCUCACAUGGGACAUCCUGGCACCAGUCUGGUUCUGAACAGAAGUCCAAGUCCAGUAGGAAGCAUCCCCAGUUCACCCAUAGGAGCAGAACCAUUGAUGAACAGGAUUUCCUCUUCUGCAGCCAAGGUAAUCAUUUUGAAAUCCCAUCCUCAGCUACUGCUGAAGAGCAUCUGUAUGCAAGUACAAGCAGGAACUGGAUGAAUUUGUCUUUGAAGAACGUGGACAUGGUAAU